UUACGGCCAUAUUGCAUUGAAACACCGGUUCUCGUCCGAUCACCGAAGUUAAGCAACGUUUAGACUGGUCAACACCUAGAUAGGUGACCUCAUGGAAAUACUAGGUGCCGUAA